rnacentral:rRNA from 1 species
UAGCCUUGACAUACUACAGAAUUUGACAGAGAUGUUGAAGUGCCUUCGGGAGCUGUAAUACAGGUGCUGCACGGCUGUCGUCAGCUCGUGUCGUGAGAUGUUGGGUUAAGUCCCGCAACGAGCGCAACCCUCGUCCUUAGUUACUAACGGUUCGGCCGAGGACUCUAAGGAGACUGCCUUCGUAAGGAGGAGGAAGGUGAGGACGACGUCAAGUCAUCAUGGCCCUUACGGCUAGGGCAACACACGUGCUACAAUGGUUAGGACAAUGAGAAGCAAUAUCGCGAGGUGGAGCAAAUCUAUAAACCUAAUCUCAGUUCGGAUUGUAGUCUGCAACUCGACUACAUGAAGCUGGAAUCACUAGUAAUCGUAGAUCAGCUAUGCUACGGUGAAUACGUUCCCGGGUCU